CCACGGUGCAGCAGUUAUAUCCCAGGAGAUGUCCAAGACAGAUGCCAGCCGAUGGAUCGCCCUCAUCAACCAUUCCUCCCGUCAGGGCCUCCACCGCCGCACCCUCCACCUCUUCCACCAGAUGCGCGGGCAAGGCUUCGCCCCGCACCGCUGCAUCCUCCCCAGCGUCAUUCGAGCCUGCGCCCGCCUUGCCGAUCCGGAUGCCGGCCGAGCUUCGCACGCCGUCGCCCUCCGUUCCUCGCUGGACCGCGACGCCUUCGUCCGCAGUGCCCUGAUCGACAUGUACUGCAAGUGCCGGCGAGUUCCCGACGCCCGCCAUGUGUUCGACGCAACGCUUGACAAGGAUCUGGUCGUCUGGAAUUCCGUGGUUUCGGGCUACGCCCACCAAGGCGCGGCAGAGGCCGCCAUGGUUCUCUCCAUCAAGAUGAGGUCUCUGGGGGUAAAACCAGAUCUCGUAACGUGGAACGCCCUCAUUUUCGGGUUCGCUCACAAGGGCGAAGAUGAUACAGCUAUGGACUUGUUGAGGACGAUGCAGUCCGACGGGGUCGAUCCCGACACGUUUUCCUGGACCUCGAUCGUAUCUGGGUUGGUGGUCAAUUUCAACUACGGCAAGGCAUUCGAGAUCUUUAGGCACAUGGUGAAGACUGCAGGAAUCCGGCCGAGCUCUGUGACGAUCAGUAGUCUUCUGCCGGCGUGCGCCGACCUGGUGGAUUUGAGACGCGGGAAAGAGAUUCACGGCUACGCCCUGGUCGCGGGAGUUGGACGGGACUUGUACGUCGGCAGUGCGCUAAUCGACAUGUACGCCAAAUGCGGCCUCGUGGCUGAAGCGAGCAAGAUCUUUCAUGACAUGAAGGAGAGGAACACGGUGUCAUGGAACUCGAUGAUAUUUGGGUACGCGAAUCAGGGGCACUGCCACGAGGCCAUCCAGCUUUUCGAUCAGAUGGAGGGUGAGAGAGCGAAACCAGAUCAUCUGACGUUUACAGCGGUUCUCUCCGCUUGUAGCCAUGGCGGAAUGGUGGAGCUGGGCAAGAGCUUGUUCCGGUUGAUGGAGGAGGCACACGGGAUAGAGCCGAGGUUGGAGCAUUACGCUUGCAUGGUGGACAUGCUAGGCAGAGCUGGGGAGUUCGUGGGGGCCUGUCGCUUGAUCGCAGAGAUGCCCAUGGAGCCAGACGCGUUUGUGUGGGGAGCGUUGCUGGCGACGAGUCGGAAGCACGGCAACGUGGAGCUCGCUGAACUGGCAGCUUCGCAUUUGUUAGAACUCGAGCCAGAGAGCGCAGGGAGCUGCGUGCUUCUGUCGAGCGCUCUGGCGGAUGCUGGGAGGACAGUAGAUGCUGCCAAGGUGAAGAAACUAAUUAAGCGACGGAAGAUGAGGACGUUGAUGGGGUGCAGUUGGAUGCAAAUGUAAUAGGGAAAAAACCGGGAACAGGUAUUUCUAACUCUGCUUUUAUUACAUGUUUGCUUUUUCUUUUUCUUUUUUCUUUUUGCAAGAGAAGUAUCGUACAUUUGAUGACGCAACGCAAACCAUCGAUGAUGUACGAACAUGAGAGCAUUGCAUGAGGGCAAUUAAACUAUCUGUGAAGCAUAGUUGGAUGAAGGCAAGUUUAAGGAGUCGAGUCUCUCAUUCGUCGCUCACAACUCUGUGUAACAUAUCUCAGAAGGCGUGCUGGCUUUCUCCUCGAUUUGAGGGAAUCUUGCUGAAUGUACUCGGACUGAAGAGAGAGUAACAUUUGUUGGUGCUGUGAAACAAAGGCAUGCGUGUAAGCUACCAUCUGCUCUUGCAGCAGCUUGACAAACAUGGUGAGUUAAGUCUGACGUUGUGAUGGCUGCUGCUCCAUCACCAUACAACUACAAGAUGAAGACAAAACUAGCCUCCGGAUGAAGCACAAGGUGAACUAACUUGCUAUAUCUCAGACCAAUUCCACUAGUAUGACUAGUAAAAAAUCUUCUAGUUCUAGCUGCUA